GACGAACGCUGGCGGCGUGCCUAAUACAUGCAAGUUGAGCGAUGAAGCUUGGUGCUUGCACCCAUUUGAAGAGCAGCGAACGGGUGAGUAACGCGUGGGGAAUCUGCCUUUGAGCGGGGGACAACAUUUGGAAACGAAUGCUAAUACCGCAUAACAACUUUAAACAUAAGUUUUAAGUUUGAAAGAUGCAAUUGCAUCACUCAAAGAUGAUCCCGCGUUGUAUUAGCUAGUUGGUGAGGUAAAGGCUCACCAAGGCGAUGAUACAUAGCCGACCUGAGAGGGUGAUCGGCCACAUUGGGACUGAGACACGGCCCAAACUCCUACGGGAGGCAGCAGUAGGGAAUCUUCGGCAAUGGACGAAAGUCUGACCGAGCAACGCCGCGUGAGUGAAGAAGGUUUUCGGAUCGUAAAACUCUGUUGGUAGAGAAGAACGUUGGUGAGAGUGGAAAGCUCAUCAAGUGACGGUAACUACACAGAAAGGGACGGCUAACUACGUG
rnacentral:rRNA from 1 species